ensembl:snRNA U6 U6 spliceosomal RNA
GUGCUCGCUUCCACAGCACAUAUACAGAAAUCGGAAGGCUACAGAGGAGAUUAGCAUGGCCCCUGCAUAAGGAUGAUCCUCAAAUUUGCAAGAUGUUCCAUGUUUAA